rnacentral:lncRNA from 1 species
GUUUGAGGAUGUCCGAGAUGCAGAAGACGCUCUGCACAACCUGGACCGGAAAUGCGUUUGUGGACGCGAGAUCGAGAUCCAGUUUGCCCAGGGAGAUCGCAAAACCCCGAACCAGAUGAAAGCCAAGGAGCGCCAUUCCCCUCGUAGCUUCUCCCGCUAUGACGAUGAAAGGGACAACCGCCGGAGACGCUCCAGGAGCCGCAGUUAUGAUCGCCGCAGGUCCCGGAGUCCGUCUUUUGAGCGUCGUCCUCGAAGGUCCGAGAGUCCCAGAGACUCUCGGGCCUACGGUCGACACAGAUACCCCAGAGGCCACGAAAAUGAGAACAGGUACAGAGGUCCUCCCCGGGACCACCACAGGCCUCACCACGAACCGGCCUCUCGCAGCCGCUCUGCCUCGCGCUCCCCCUCACCCCCCAGGCCCACCAGACCCAAAGGCAAAAAGAGCCCGUCCAGGUCCCACAGCCCGGUCGAGGACUUCCAGCCCACCUCCAGCUCCCAGAAUCAGUUUGUGGGGCGAUCUCCGUCGCGCUCCAUGUCUCGCUCCAUGUCCCGAUCGCGGUCUCGCUCCAGAUCCUGGGCCGGACGCAAGUCUGGGGGCCACUAACUGGCUAGUUGUUCCUCCAGAAACCCCCAGCGUGCGUGUGUGUGUGUGUGUAUCUGAGGAUGUUUCUGUUCAGUCGAAAUAUAGUCUCUUUUACACAAAGGUUUGUUUCAUGGUUGUUACAGUAGAUGGGGCUGUGCUGCCGUUCAGACUGUUUUAG